rnacentral:tRNA from 1 species
GCCGGGAUAGCUCAGCUGGUAGAGCAACUGAUUUGUAAUCAGUUGGUCCGGGGUUCGAGUCCCCGUCUCGGCUCCA